AAACAUGUUACUGUAAUAGUACAGUACUGCCAAAGGUGACAUUGAGAGAAAGAAACUGAUGCAACUAGAAGUAUACAUCUUGUGCUGAGCUUGUGAGCAUUUAGGGUUUGAAAAUGCUCUUCGUAAUGGUGUCCAGUGAUGUUAGACUUCAGAUGUAGCAAACUGCAAUAUAUAAUGAAUCUUAUAUUGAGCUCUAGGCUAUAACUGAUAGAGUUUAGUUUACCAUCAUAAAUAGUUUUGAAUUAUAUUUUCUAAAUACAUUUUUGUCUAAUUUCGUACCAUAGGCAAACCAUCUAGGAGUUGCUGCUGGUUUCCUGCCCCUGCCAACUAGACUUUAUCUGCAUCAAGUGUGCACUGAACACAGCCUCUUCAAUCUCUGCUGGCAUCUAAAAAUCAAUGAGCCAAGGAUUCUACAGCCCAUUGGCAAGUGCCUAUCACUCUUCAGAAUUUCUGAAUAGGCAGAAUGAUUAAUUCAUUGAAAUUU
rnacentral:lncRNA from 1 species